ensembl:snoRNA
UGGGUCUGUGAUAGCUGCCGGCGUAUGAAUCACGGAUGAUGAACGAUGCGUGUCUGGAAUUCUGAGGUCCAC